GCCAGUGUGGUGUAGUGGCUUGAGUGCUAGACUACGACACUGGAGAUCAGGGUUCAAAUCCCCGCUUGGCCA